AAGCGGGUCCAAUGCAACAGAAAUCUGUGAACCGUGUCAGGUCGGGAACGAAGCAGCACUAAGCAGAACCUUCUGUGUGACGUUGGGUCGCCUGCUUCUU
rnacentral:SRP_RNA from 1 species